GUGGGGAAUAUUGGGCAAUGGGGGAAACCCUGACCCAGCAACGCCGCGUGAAGGAAGAAGGCUUUCGGGUUGUAAACUUCUUUUACCAGGGACGAAGGACGUGACGGUACCUGGAGAAAAAGCCACGGCUAACUACGUGCCAGCAGCCGCGGUAAUACGUAGGUGGCAAGCGUUGUCCGGAUUUACUGGGUGUAAAGGGCGUGUAGGCGGGAGAGCAAGUCAGAAGUGAAAUCUAUGGGCUUAACCCAUAAACUGCUUUUGAAACUGUUCUUCUUGAGUAUCGGAGAGGCAGGCGGAAUUCCUAGUGUAGCGGUGAAAUGCGUAGAUAUUAGGAGGAACACCAGUGGCGAAGGCGGCCUGCUGGACGACAACUGACGCUGAGGCGCGAAAGCGUGGGGAGCAAACAGGAUUAGAAACCCUAGUAGUCC
rnacentral:rRNA from 1 species